rnacentral:lncRNA from 1 species
AGACCUGCUGAGUCCCCAGUGAGGCUGUUUUACUGCCAAGCUCAGAAACGUCGUUCUGCUGCUGAUGCUGCCAGAGGCUCCGUCGUCAGAUGAUCGCUGCCGUUCGUCUCAGAGGCCGACUGGCUGGAAGGGAGGAAAACCCCUGGUGCACAGCGAGCUUUAACAACUCCAUUGAACUCAAACAAGCUGGCUUUCGGAGAAAGGAGCAUGGGAUUAAUCUCGGAUCCCCUCCCCUCAAGGAUGCCUGCUGGACCUUUUGGGAUUACAGUCAAGAAGUGCGGGUAAUGCCACGAACUCAGCAGGCUUUGCAAUUUAAUGGGUUUUAAUCAGUGCUGCUCUCGUUAUUAUAGUUUAUUACGUGCAUGGGCAAAACAUGAGAAAACUUUAUAAAUGUCUUUUAUAUACCCUCUAGAUUAUAUGAAAUUGAAACAUAAUUACUCACAUGUAAUGAGGAAUGAACCAAAAUACAUCAUAGCAUAAGCUGCCUUUCACCCUUUACCUGUCUGUUACUUUCUCUUUUUUGCCUAAUAUUGUGAACGUUUGUUCCUAUUAUCUUUAAAUACACACGAAGUAGCAAUCAAGUUUGGCGGUAUGCUAUUUUUGUUUUGCUUAAGAGUACAACUUUUUAGCUGAACAGUUUCACAUGAAGGACAGUGAGAGUCAAGGUUGAACACGUUGGUCGGCUUCUUGAGUUUUAGGUUUUCAGAGGGAUUUUUUGCAUUUACGUUUGUCGUCGGUGUGUACGUGCCCGUUGCAUCCACCGCGCUGUAUGGGAGCCGCUACGCGUGGAGAACAUUUGCAGAUCUGACUAGUACAUUCAGACGUCUCUUGAGAGAUUUGAUUUUUUGGUGAUCUAUCCCAUAAUUAAUUACAGACCAGAUGAAAUCAUUACCUCUCUGUCAAUUCUUCCUUUUUGGGAGACAAGCAGCUUUUUUUACCAUAAAUGUGGCUUUCCGCAAAAGAUGUCAUGCAAUGAAUCUGUAGGUUACUGGCAAUAUAGUUCGGUAUAAUAACAUAACAUAGGAUGGGGUAGUAACGAGACUUGAGGCUGUUAAUUACAGAUGAGCUGUGAUAUUCCCCUUGCAAUUAUGCGAUUAGGGUAGAUAUAAACUCCUUUGUCUUCCUAUAACUUGAAGCUUUUAGGAUCACUGAGGACAUCUCUUAUAUUGAGGAAGUGCCAGUGCGCUGAAGGCAGACUGUCUGGCACAUAGGUGCUUUACAUUGCCGUAGAAAGAUGAAAAGACUGAGAUCAAAUGCAGGCUCUGGAUCUGCAUUUAGCCCUCGAGCUCCUUUAGUCUAAUCUCAGCUCCAGCACUCCUCCCCUGUGCGGUCUUUGUGGUCCACUUAGUGCUUCUGCCUUGGUUUCUUCGAUCUGUGAAACGGAGAUAGUAUGCGCAGGAAUUUCUCAGACCUGAUUAGCAUUUCUUAAAUGGGAGUUACGGAGUAUAUUGCUGUUAGUCUUUGGUUUUAUACACAUCGACGAUAGAUAUUUCUUAAAAAAUCAUUAAUAUGCAUAUAUCUGUGAUCCCACAGUUAUUACUUCUGUUUGCAGGGUAUGUUAUUAUGUACAACCCACUGACUUAGUAUUUAAUUUUCAUUUGCUGUGUGGAAAAAUUCCCAGUUGCCUGUGUUUUUUGCAAGACUUUUUUUUCUAGUUUUUUUUUCUAGAUCACAAGAUUUUUCAGGAUAGGACCACUUUUGAUCUUACUGCCUUGGUGCAGUGUUUAGUAUUGUGGCUGAUACUUGGAGUUCCAGAUGCUACUUCAGUACAAAUACACAUUCACUAUUAAUGAUAGAAAAUGACCUUGUUCAGGCUAUGAGCAUUUCAUCUACCUUAAGCCCUGCUUAGUUUGCAUGGACUGCAGAAACGUUUUUUGGUCAGUAUUGUAUGCAGUUCCUUGAUUAUAUAUAACUGGGAUGAUUUUGUUCCUCCUCUGUGAAAAUAAACCAUUCAGUUUCAUUUUGUUUCA